AACGAACGCUGGCGGCGUGCCUAACACAUGCAAGUCAAAGUCUGAGUGACUUCGGUUACAAGGACUUGGCGCAAGGGUGAGUAAGGCAUAGGUAAUCUGCCUUUUGGUCUGGGAUAACCCCGAGAAAUCGGGAACAAUACCAGAUGAUGCAGCGGAACCGCAUGGUUAUGUUGUUAAAGAUUUAUCGCCAAAAGAUGAGCCUAUGUUCCAUCAGGUAGUUGGUAGGGUAACGGCCUACCAAGCCUACGACGGAUAGCUGGUCUGAGAGGAUGAUCAGCCACAUUGGAACUGAGACACGGUCCAGACUCCUACGGGAGGCAGCAGUGAGGAAUAUUGCGCAAUGGGCGAAAGCCUGACGCAGCAACGCCGCGUGGAUGAUGAAGUUCUUCGGAAUGUAAAAUCCAUUUGCAGGGGACGAAUAGGUCGGCUUGCCGGCUGUGACGGUACCCUGCGAAUAAGCCACGGCUAACUCUGUGCCAGCCGCCGCAGUAAAAC
rnacentral:rRNA from 1 species